rnacentral:lncRNA from 1 species
AGGUAACAAGGUAGAUAGACAGUAACAGCAGUAUACUGUAGGUAGGGGUAAAGUGACUAGAAAAGGGAUAGAUAAUAGACAGUAAGAGCAGUAUACUGUAGGUAGGGGUAAAGUGACUAGGAAAGCGAUAGAUAAUAGACAGUAACAGCAGUAUACUGUAGGUAGGGGUAAAGUGACUAGGAAAGGGAUAAUAAUAGACAGUAACAGCAGUAUACUGUAGGUAAGGGUAAAGUGACUAGGAAAGGGAUAGAUAAUAGACAGUAACAGCAGUAUACUGUAGGUAGGGGUAAAGUGACUAGGAAAGGGAUAGAUAAUUGACAGUAACAGCAGUAUACUGUAGGUAGGGGUAAAGUGACUAUUUAACAGGAUAGAUAAUAGACAGUAACAGCAGUAUACUAUUGUUAGGGGUAAACUGACAAGGUAAAAGGAUAGAUAA